ACCGUCGUCAUCACUGAAGGGAGUCAGCAUUGCCGUCGUCCAUGGGUGAAGCAGAGGAGAGAGAUCCGCGAGGAAGGGAGGACCGCGCCCGUCCAGCCGCUGCGCACAGUCGCCACUCAUGUCGCUGGCGCCAUCCAUGUCAGAUCCGGCGUUGCAGAAGCUUCUGGCCGUGCCUCUGUCGCCGGACAACACCGCUGCCGCCUGGAACCCCACAUUGAAGUCUGUAUCUGUGUGGAUAUAUGAUCACAUGGUCACUGCAAGUUUUUCUGUCCUGCGCCACCAUUGGAGCCGCCCAACCGGUGCUGAAAUCGUUGCUGCUCUGUGUUCUUUUAUAGUAAAUAUUUACGUUUCGAAAAACCUCCGCGUUAGUGUCCUGUUAUGUGUAUUAAAGUCUUUGCGAUAUUGAUGUGUUAAGGAUCAAUAGCCGAGCUUACAUGUAGCGAUUGAGGCUGUUUUUGCUUUUGGGAAAGCAAGCGGAGUAGAGGCUUCAGUUGCCGUUGAUUUUGGGCUGAGAGAAACGAGUUCAGUUGACGCGUUUGGAUUAUGGUUUCGCGUGUCGAGAAACCGGAUGAAGAAGCGUUAAGAAGAGUUAUAUUGCGUUUGGUUUAUAUG